GGACCUGCUGAAGAAGUGCGGGAAGGUUCCCCAGUAGCUACCUCAGGACAGGGGAUUGUCCAGUACGUUCUCCAGAUGCGAGACAGGCUGGAGCGGUACCGAGAGGAAGCUAGGGCAAACCUUCAGCAAGCCCAGAAGGCCCAGAAGCGAGGGUAUGACCAGCACGCUCGCCACAGAGCGUUUGAGCCAGGACAGAAAGUCCUGCUCCUCCUUCCCUCGUCUACCAGCAAGCUCCUUGCGCAGUGGCAAGGGCCGUACCUAAUCGGGAGGAAGAUGGGCCCGGUGACCUACGAGGUGCUGCACCCGGACAAGGGUAAGGAGAAGCAAACCUACCAUGUGAACCUCCUCAAGGCCUGGGAGGAGAAAGGGGAACUCUCCAAGGUAAAGUCCUUUCUGGUCCGCAGAGUAGAAGAAGAGGACGAGUCAGAUGGGGUCACAGAGGCAUGGAAAGGACGAGCAGAGGUCAUACUGGCUCACCUAGAAGAAGACAAGCAAGAUGAGCUGAAGCAGCUGUUUGGCAAGUAUCCGGCCCUCUUCAGUCAGAGGCCAGGAAGAACCAAAGUCCUGGAACACGUCAUUCGUUUGAAGCCUGGCCAGAACCCUGUCCGCCAGCAUCCUUACCGUGUGCCUGAGAGGCUGGUGGUAGCCCUCAAAGAGGAGGUCCACACCAUGAUAGACAUGGAUGUUGUCGAGCCAUCGUCAAGUGAAUGGAGCAGCCCUAUUGUCAUUGUCCCAAAGAAGGAUGGCUCUUUGCGCGUCUGCAUGGACUUCCGUAAGGUGAAUGCCAUCUCCCAGUUUGAUGCCUACCCCAUGCCCCGCAUUGACGACUUACUGGAGAGAAUAGGUAGAGCUCAUUACAUCACCACAUUGGAUCUCUGCAAAGGGUACUGGCAGGUGCCCCUGGACGAACAAUCCAAGGCCUACACUGCCUUCCGGACACCGAUGGGCCUGUUCCAGUUUAAGGUCAUGCCGUUUGGCCUUCAUGGGGCCUCUGCAACUUUCCAGAGGCUUAUGGACAAGGUCCUCCAGGACUGUGACGAUUACUGUGCUGCUUACUUGGAUGACGUGGUGAUCUACAGC
rnacentral:lncRNA from 8 species